CCGUAUCCUAUCAAGUGUGACG
rnacentral:miRNA from 1 species